rnacentral:lncRNA from 14 species
UGGAGAUUCUUUAACUCCUCUGGUCAGAGAAGGAUCUUGGCAUGUGUUUGUACUCGGAUGGAUGAAAGUGAGGAGCAGAGCUGCAUGAACCUGCCAAGUGCCUGUGCUGCCCCUCUCACCAGCUUGGAGUCAUUAGAGAAUAUCGAGUUUGAAGAAGUGGUGCACCUGAUUAAGCUGGGAUUCAGACAGGACCUUUGCAGGACAGCAAACUUCAUGUCUGGGUAUGGCC